rnacentral:tRNA from 1 species
CGGUUGCGUAGUGUAGCUGGUCAUCACAUCGGAUUCUGAUAUCAUCAGACUAUUCCGGGGACCUGAGUUCGAAUCUCGGCGCGACCUG